rnacentral:lncRNA from 1 species
UGAGUAUCCACACAUAUUUUCAACUGCCUGAUGCAUAUUUCUAACUGAGAGUCUAAUAGGGAGAGCAAAAUUCUUUACUCAAACCUCCUGAUUUUGUUCACUGGAAAUCACUUUCUUGGUGCUUUUCCUAAUCGGUCACCACUCUCUUCUCUGGAAUAAGACAAGGAGAGAGGAGUUUCUAUCAUUUUCAGGUAAUAUCUUGCUCUUAUGAUAAUUACUCUGUGAAGGUAGUAGUUUGCUUUGCACUCCUAUAAGUAGUUAAUAAAUACCUGUUUUAAGAUUGAUGGAAAGAUGAGAAGAAAAAGAAACAAACAUACCUUUUGCCUUAUAUUUAUUAUUUUGCUGUAUUGGGCAUUGGAGAUUAGAAAAUGUGCUACAACAAAUCAAUAAGAAAACAGCCAUAGAUCUAAAUACACCAAAUUUAGCUCUACUAGAGAAAUAAUUCCUUCUCACAACUUCAACAAUAUUUGACAUUUCUACAUAGUUUAUUACCUACCCUUUACCUUAAGAUCACCUUUCUGAAGCCAGUAUCAAAUCUCUAAAAUAUCCUAGUCCCUCCUCUAAAAUUCCUCACUCCUUCAUAGGCAAUCAGAACUUUCUAGCAUUCUUUUUCAUUUUUUAAGGAGGGAAUUAAGGGAAACCUGAACUGUAGAUUAAAAAAACAAACCACUUUUUUUGGCCUAUAACUCGUAGUAAGGAAAGUAUCUUACAAGGCAACCCAGCACAUGCACACACAUAAAUGGAAUGAAUGUUUAUGCAAAAAUAACAGACUUUACCAUGUGUGAUGUACUCUUAGAUUUUUCUAUUCUUUUCUAUAUUUAUCUAUCUAAUAAAAACUGCUAGUAACAACCAGUAAAUUUAUUUCAUGACCCAUAAUGGUACAUGACCCAGUUUUAAAAUACUGGUCUAGAGGAGAUGUUUUGAAAUGAGCAUCAU